GAUGAACGCUGGCGGCGUGCCUAAUACAUGCAGGUCGAGCGAACAGACGAGGAGCUUGCUCCUCUGACGUUAGCGGCGGACGGGUGAGUAACACGUGGAUAACCUACCUAUAAGACUGGGAUAACUUCGGGAAACCGGAGCUAAUACCGGAUAAUAUAUUGAACCGCAUGGUUCAAUAGUGAAAGACGGUUUUGCUGUCACUUAUAGAUGGAUCCGCGCCGCAUUAGCUAGUUGGUAAGGUAACGGCUUACCAAGGCGACGAUGCGUAGCCGACCUGAGAGGGUGAUCGGCCACACUGGAACUGAGACACGGUCCAGACUCCUACGGGAGGCAGCAGUAGGGAAUCUUCCGCAAUGGGCGAAAGCCUGACGGAGCAACGCCGCGUGAGUGAUGAAGGUCUUCGGAUCGUAAAACUCUGUUAUUAGGGAAGAACAAAUGUGUAAGUAACUAUGCACGUAUUGACGGUACCUAAUCAGAAAGCAACGGCUAACUACGUG
rnacentral:rRNA from 1 species